ensembl:lncRNA
CACAAUCACAGCUGUCCCUGCCACGUCCGCUGUGGUUUCUGCUUGGCCCACUGGGCCCUCGUUCAGUCGUUGGCAGGAGCAGUGACCCCUCUGCUUGCUCACAUGCAAAGCUCAUGUGUUGACGACUGUCCCGACGACUGUCUUGAAGGACACAGUGGUAGUCCCUGGCCCGCCGAGCCCCAGAGGGGUCUGUAGGUACAAAGCCCUGGCUGAUGGAGAGACUGGAGGAUUCAGUAGAUCCAGGGUGUUACCGGACGGACGGCUUUGAAUAAAGCAGGUGGCCUUUCCUAGUGGGCGGGGCCUCUCCCAGGCCGCUGUAGGCCUGAGCAGAGAAAAUGCCCCGCAUGCAGCGUCUCCCUGGUCUCCAGCUCGGAGUCACCUGCAAAUCUCAGACUCUCCAGACCCCAAGCCGUGGAGAUGGUUCCUUCGAACAGGCCUGAAAUUAACAUCUGCAGAAGACCAGGAGCCUUGAGGGAGGGGAGAGGCCAUGCUCACCGCCAGAUGCUGGCCAUUUCCGUGGGUGGCCCUGCCCAGACCUGGCGCCCAAUGGAGCCCCUUACCCCAACUGCAGGCUGCCCACCCUCCCCUUCUGAGCACCCUGCCUUCGGGCUCACCGCAGAUUUCCUGGUGAAAGCACCACUACCCAGAUUCUAGCUCCAGAAUCCAGUGUCACUGAUGAUGGGCAGAAAGAAUCGACCCUCUUCUCCCAUGAAAACAGUUCAAAUUUUAAAAUCUUUGCUCUGAUUUUCCCUCCUAGGUUUCUAUUAGGUUCUACUUCAUUUUCUUCAGUGCUUUGGCAUUAAGGCCUUUUAUUUUAGUUCAUGCAUUCUUUUUUACAUUUUCAAGUUUUCCAUUUGGUGUCUUUUAGUUUGGAAAACUGUCAUAAAGUAUUCACUUACAAAUAGUCUUUCUCUUAUUGGCAACAUUAUAUACACACAAUUCUUUAAAAAAAAUUUUUUUGCUCCCAAGAUAACAAAUGUGCAUUGAAAAAUUAGGGUACCAUAGAAAUGCCUAAAAAAUGAAAGUCAUAAUUGCAUGCACAUGGAUAACACUACCAAUACUCUGCUAUAUGCACACUUCAUCUCUUUCCACAGUGUAUGCACACACAGUUGUACUGCACAUACUUGUUUCUGAGAUAGGGUCUCCCUAGGUUCUCCAGGCUGGGCUCGAACUUGACUCUCCUGCUUCAGUUUCUUGAGAGGCGAGGAUUACAGGUGCCCCUCACCAAGCCUGGCUUAUAGCUCAUAUUUUCUAUGUCAUCAAAUGAUUUAUGGUUCCAUAAAUAAUUUUCCAUUGUAUGGACAUACUGCAAUUUAUGAGAUGAAUUUCCCUCUUCGAAUUCUUGGGCCUCGAGUUGGUUUUCAAAGUUUCGGUGUUACAUAUAAAGAAUAUGAAAGCCAUCCGAAGGCAGCUCUGGACACAAACCGCAGGUAGAGGCACCACAGGAGCGGCCCUGUUGGGAGUGAGGCGAGUGCUGCUCGCUGGCUCUGGUCCUGGUCAGGAAGCUGUCCCUGCAGGUGAAACUCCCCUCACAGCCUGGAUGGGGUGACCCUGGCCGUGUUCGACACCG